UCCCUUAAAGCUACUCUCAGUUCGGAUUGUAGGCUGAAACUCGCCUACAUGAAGCUGGAGUUACUAGUAAUCGCAGAUCAGAAUGCUGCGGUGAAUGCGUUCCCGGGUCUUGUACACACCGCCCGUCACACCCCGGGAGUUGGAGACGCCCGAAGCCGAUUAUCUAACCUUUUGGAAGAAGUCGUCGAAGGUGGAAGCAAUAACUGGGGUGAAGUCGUAACAAGGUAGCCGGAUCGGAAGGUGCGGCUGGAUCACCUCCU
rnacentral:rRNA from 1 species